UAAUACAGAGGUCCCGAGCGUUGUUCGGAUUCACUGGGCGUAAAGGGUGCGUGGGUGGUGAGGUAAGUCGGAUGUGAAAUCUCCGAGCUCAACUCGGAAAUGGCAUUGGAAACUGCCUUGCUUGAGGGUUGGAGGGGGGACUGGAAUGCUUGGUGUAGCAGUGAAAUGCGUAGAUAUCAAGCGGAACACCAGUGGCGAAGGCGAGUCCCUGGACAACUCCUGACACUGAGGCACGAAAGCUAGGGGAGCAAACAGGAUUAGAUACCCUGGUAGUCCUAGCCGUAAACGGUGCAUGUUUGCUGUAAAAGGAAUCGACCCCUUUUGUGGCGUAGCCAACGCGUUAAACAUGCCGCCUGGGAAGUACGGUCGCACAAGU
rnacentral:rRNA from 1 species